UACGAAGGGGGCUAGCGUUGCUCGGAAUUACUGGGCGUAAAGCGCACGUAGGCGGCUUUUUAAGUCAGGGGUGAAAUCCUGGAGCUCAACUCCAGAACUGCCUUUGAUACUGGCGAGCUUGAGUUCGGGAGAGGUGAGUGGAACUGCGAGUGUAGAGGUGAAAUUCGUAGAUAUUCGCAAGAACACCAGUGGCGAAGGCGGCUCACUGGCCCGAUACUGACGCUGAGGUGCGAAAGCGUGGGGAGCAAACAGG
rnacentral:rRNA from 1 species